rnacentral:rRNA from 1 species
CAAUAGCGUAUAUUAAAGUUGUUGCAGUUAAAAAGCUCGUAGUUGGAUUUGUGGUGGUUCCUGUGGUCCGAUUUCGGUACUCUCGGGGACUGCCAUCUUUGGGUGGAUCCUGUGUGGCAUUAGGUUGUCGUGCAGGGGAUGCCCAUCGUUUACUGUGAAAAAAUUAGAGUGUUCAAAGCAGGCUUAUGCCGUUGAAUAUAUUAGCAUGGAAUAAUGAGAUAGGACCUUGGUACUAUUUUGUUGGUUUGCGCACCGAGGUAAUGAUUAAUAGGGACAGUUGUGGGUAUUCGUAUUCCAUUGUCAGAGGUGAAAUUCUUGGAUUUCUGGAAGACGAACUAAUGCGAAAGCAUUUACCAAGGAUGUUUUCAUUAA